rnacentral:rRNA from 1 species
AGAGUUUUAUCCUGGCUCAAGAUGAACGCUGGCAACAUUCUUAACACAUGCAAGUUCGAUGGGAAGUCGUGUUUCUAGUGGCGAACAAGUGAGCAAGGCGUAAGAACUUGCCCUUAAGAAGGGAACAACAACUUAAAACGAUUAUUAAUACACCGUAGGCUGAGGAGCAAAAGAAGAAAUCCACCCAAGGUUGGGCUCGUGUCUGAUUAGCUAGUUGGUGAGGCAAUAGCUUACCAAGACGAUGAUCAGUAGCUUGUUCGAGAGAAUGAUCAGCUACACUGGGACUUAGACACAGCCUAGCCUCAUACGGGAGACAACAGUGGGGAAUUUUUCGCAAUAGGCAAAAGCCUGACGAAACAAUGCUGCAUGGAGGUAGAAGGCCCACUGGUUAUGAACUUAAUUUCUUAGAAAAGCAAUGACGGUAUCUGAGGAAUAAGUAUCAGCUAACUCUGUGCUAGCAACCGCGGUAAGACAGAGGAUGCAAGCGUUAUCCGAAAUGAUUGGACGUAAAGCAUAUGUAGGUGGCUUUGCAAGCCCGCCAUCAAAUUCCACGCUCAAGCCUGGAUAGGUGAUGGAAACUACUAAGCUAGAGUAUAAUAGGGACAAACGGAAUUUCCGGUGGAGCGGUGAAAUGCGUAGAGAUCGGAAAGAACACUAACGGCCAAAGCACUUUGCUAGGCAGACAUUGACACUGAGAGACGAAAGCUAGGGAAGCAAAUGAGAUUAGAUACCCUAGUAGUCCUAGCCAUAAACGAUGGAUACUAGAUGUUGUGCGUAUCAACCUGUGCAGCCUUGUAGCUAACGCGUUAAAUAUCCCACUUGGGAGUACGUUAGCAAGAAUGAAACUCAAAGAAAUUGACCGGGUCCAAUACAAGCAGUGAAGCAUGUGGUUUAAUUCGAUGCAAAGCGAAGAACCUUACUAGGGCUUUACAUGUCGUGAAUCCUCUUGAAAGAGAAGGGUUCCCUUAGGAACGGGGAUACAGGUGGUGCAUCGCUGUCGUCAGCUUAUGCUGUAAGGUGUUGGGUUAAGUCCCACAACAAGCGUAACCCUCGUGUUCAGUUACCACCAUUAAGUUUGGAAUCCUGAACAAACUACCGAUGAUAGGCCGGAGGAAGGUGAGGAUGACGUUAAGUCAUCAUGCCCCUUAUGCCAUAAGCGACACACGUGCUAUAAUGGGUGGAACAAAGGGUUGCGACCCCGCGAGGGUGAGUUAACUCCAAAAGCUUGUCCUCAAUUCAGAUUGCAAGCAGUAACUUGCCUGCAUGAAGUUAGAAUCGCUAGUAAUUACCGGUUAGCCAUACAAUGGUAAAUUCGUUCCCAGGCCUUAUACACACCACUUGUCACACUAUGGGAGUUGGUCAUACCCCAAAUAGGGUUAAUGUUUUUGGUAAAUCACUGAACUUUGGUCAAAUAUCAUUUUGAUCACUUAAU